rnacentral:misc_RNA from 1 species
AAUAAAAUACAUUGUUUUUAAAUGUAAUGCACUAGCUGUUCAGUCCCCAGAAAAAUUUUCCGCAAUAAUUUUUCGAACAGACUUCCCGCCAUCACCUAAGACUAUUUGCAGCAUCAUAAUCGUCACCCUCAUGCAGAUGGGCGUUACGCGGUUUUGCAAGAUGGAGUCCAGUGAAUGAGCUGAACAGAAAUUUUGUGAAAUAUGGUGCGAACACGACAUCACCCUGGAGAGUACAAGGAUAAUGGCGACUCUCCGGUUGACUUUUUGUGUUUGGAAAGCAAAGCCGGUCGAAGAACACAAAAAACAUCGAGAGAUGACUACAACAGUGAUGACAGUGGAGUAGUUCACAACUCUCGCAGCGCUGGAAGAGGGAAGCAGACAUCGGAGCAUGUUCAGAGGUCCUUCCAGUCCAGGCUCCGGCCAAAGAUACGAUCGAGUGGGGCAUACUUCAUUGGAGAAGGAAUGUCAAGUGAUGAAGAAGAAUUUCCCUGUGUCUCUACAGAUUCCCCAUCCCGAGGUCGGCGAGUUGGGCGCCCCAGUAAGCCAAGGAGGAAACGAAAUUCUAGUGGUGGUCGUAGAGACAGCAAAGCAAGCACAGACAACUCUCCUAUCACAAUAGAGGGACAUGAUGGUGAUGAGGAUGAACCUGGGUAUGAUCAUGACGAUGAUGGUGGGCGGCGACGCAGCACACGGCAGAAGAAGAAUACAUUUGAUACAUUGAACCAGAAUUUCUUGGAUAAGGCCGUUGUAAGUGCGAAAGAUAAUGACAAUGAGGAUGGGAGAGGGAAGAAGAGGAGGAAAGCAAACUUUAUGAAACCAACUGAAAAGGAAGAGUUUUCUGACAUGUACAGCCGAGUCAAAAGGCAGCGGAAGCAGGUGGAGCGGGAUAUGUAUGGCGUCCCAAUACAGGGCUCGGACUCCGAGUCUGGAGACUCCAAUGAUGAACAGGAAGGAGAUGGAACACCCGUGCAGCCACAGAAGAGAUCAUACUUCCUCCGGGAACACAAGCCUCGUACACAACUGUUUGAGGCACCGCCUAUAGAGAGUCAAAAAAAGAAACAACAGUCAUUGUUCCGAGAAACACCGCCAAGGUCAAUACGAAGACUUGAGAGUCACCAAACAUAUCAAUCUCCAGCACACAGGAAGAAAAUUGUCAGAAAACGACAAGCAUUCCAUGUUUCUAGUUCGACUUCUUCAUCAGAAAGCAUAUCCAGUGAUGAGGAGAGAUUUCAGAGACGUAAAGCCAAGAGCAUGGCCCGCUCAAGGAACAGGUGUCUGCCUAUGAACUUGAAUCAAGAAGAUCUACAAUCUGGGGUUGUCAAGGAGAGGUCAAAGAUUGGAGCAAGUUUAGCAGACGUAGACCCAAUGAAUAUAGAUAGAUCAGUAACCUUUGAAAGCAUAGGGGGCUUGGGCAAGCAUAUACGAGCCCUAAAAGAAAUGAUUGUGUUUCCUAUCAUGUAUCCCGAGAUAUUUGAAAGGUUCAAGAUUGCCCCACCAAGAGGAGUACUUUUUCAUGGGCCUCCAGGAACGGGAAAAACCUUGAUCGCAAGAGCUCUGGCUAACGAAUGUAGCUCCUCCGACAGAAGAGUGGCUUUCUUCAUGAGAAAAGGUGCUGACUGCCUCAGUAAAUGGGUUGGAGAAUCAGAAAGACAGCUCCGUCUGCUGUUUGAUCAGGCAUACCAGAUGCGUCCUUCCAUAAUUUUCUUUGAUGAGAUUGAUGGUCUUGCCCCUGUACGCUCAAGUCGCCAGGACCAGAUUCACAGCUCAAUUGUUUCCACUCUGCUUGCUCUCAUGGACGGCCUUGAUAGCAGAGGAGAAAUAGUUGUCAUUGGCGCCACCAACAGGAUCGACUCGAUCGACCCAGCGCUGAGGAGACCUGGCAGAUUUGACAGGGAGUUCCUCUUCCCAUUGCCUUCACAUUCGGCAAGGAAGCAGAUACUGAAAAUUCACACCAAGGCAUGGAGUCCCAAGUUGGCUGACGGCUUUGUCACAGAACUAGCCCAGAGAUGUGUUGGUUACUGUGGUGCUGACUUGAAGGCGCUGUGUACUGAGGCUGCCCUACAUGCUUCACGGCGGCGUUACCCACAGAUUUACACCAGCAAUGAGAAGCUGCAACUCAACGUCUCUUCCAUACAUAUCUCGGCCAAGGACUUCUUCAAAGGCAUGCAGGCUAUAGUCCCAACUGCACAACGAUCUGUCUCAUCACCGUCCCGAUCUUUGACCUUUGCUGUGGAGCCGCUGUUAAAACGCCAGUUCCAGAAAUCGCUUAGCUUACUACAGGAUGUGUUUCCAAGCGUUCUUUCUACUCUUGCUUCUUUAGACAUCCCUGCUACCAAUUCUCAGGCGGAGAACCAAAAAGGGGAGGUAACCCUGGAUGAGUUGGCCAGUGAUGAUGAUGAGGAGAUGCCAUCAAUCUACGAGAAAUGUCGUAAUCGAAAGCGGUCGAGUCUGGAACCUCCCAUCCCUGAUCAUGCUCCAGCCUAUCUCAACUUUGGCAGACAAUCGUACCAGGUUCCAACAACGUAUCGGCCACGACUGUUACUGUGUGGGAGUCGUGGGCAGGGCCAGACGUCUCAUCUGGGACCAGCUAUUCUCCAUCAUCUGGAACAGUUGCCGGUGCAAGUGCUUGACCUUCCUACAGUGUAUGCAGCCUCUGCCAAGACGCCAGAGGAGUCAUGUGCUCAGGUGUUCCGCGAAGCACGCCGGUGUUCGCCCAGCAUUGUGUACAUGCCGUACGUUGACCAGUGGUGGGAGGUGCUCAGCGAGACACUGCGAGCCACAUUCCUCACCAUGAUCCAGGACCUGGACCCGACCACACCCAUCCUCAUCCUGGCCACCAGUGAGGUCCCUUACCCACAGAUAGACUGCCUGCUACAGCUUUUGUUUGACUCUCAUGCUGGGGAGGUCCUGGAGAUGCGAGACCCCCAGGCUGAUGAACGAAGAGAAUACUUCCAGGAUCUUCUGCUCAAUCAAGCCAUCAAACCUCCACCUCUCAAGAAGCAGGCAGGGAAUGAGAAUCUGCGAAAGUUACAACUUAAGCUCAGAGCAAAGUCACCAUUGUUGAAACCCUCUGAGGUGGAGGACGCACUGCGAAUGUUGGAGGUCCUACCCAAGGCACCUCCUCCGGUCCCGGCCAAACUGACAGAGGCUGAGUCCAAGAAACUCAAGCAGCAAGAGGAGGCCACGUUUCGGGAGCUGCGCAUCUUCCUCCGCGACGUCCUCAACAAACUGGGCAGAGACAGAAAGUUCUCCAUAUUCACCAAGCCAGUGGAUGUGGAGGAUGUGCCGGACUACUAUGAAAUCAUUCAGAGUCCAAUGGACCUGUCGACCAUGAUGUCAAAGAUUGAUCUACAUGCAUACCAGACAGUCGCUGAUUUCCUGGGUGACAUCAAUCAGAUCAGUCUCAACGCUCUGGAGUACAACCCGGACAGAGACCCUUCAGAUAAAGCAAUUCGUCACAGAGCGUGUGCCUUGAGAGACACAGCCCAGGCAAUAAUUGAAGCUGAACUUGAUCCAGAGUUUGAAAAACUCUGUCACAGUAUAGCUCAGAGUCAAAAGAGGAGAGGUGUAGUGAAAGAGCCUGUCACACCAGCUUUCUACUUUACCAGACCUUUGCACAAGCAGGGUGAACAACAGCAACAUCAGCAGCAUCCAUCCAACUCAACCCCCCAUGACCCAGCAGCUCCUGGUGUGCGACACAGUCGUAGGGUGAAGGGUUUGGUAGCUGAAGAUCUUCCUGCCCUAGAAUUAGUUGAAAAACAGUGGCAGGUAGACAAACGUGUCAGUAGGACUUCACAGAAGGAAUCUCCAUCCCACUCAUCUCCCAAAUACAAAAAGAACAGUCCCAGUUCAAGGCAGCAUCAAGAUACACACAAUAGUGCAGCACCUAACUCACCUACAAAGACUCCAUCUUCAGGGAAAAAAGCGAAGCCUAAAAAGAAGUGUAUUUGGGCAGUAACCAAGCGACGGAAAAAGCGAGGUGCUGCAGCGAAGAAACAGAAGACUUCGGAUGUGACAAAUGAUGCUACAAGUCUGUAUGUGGACAUUGAGGAAGAGGUCAGUGAUGAUUCGGACAGUGAGAUUAUCAUUGCUGAGAGCCCUUGUAGGAGAGAAAUUGACUCUGGGUCUAAACACUCACCGUGCCAACCAUCCUCCUCAGGGAAAGAUACACCUGCAUCUAAUUUUAUGUCAUGCAAAAAAUCACCUACCUCAAGAUGUCUGGAACUGAUGCCUGGUCAUGACAGUGGAGUUGGCAGCUCUGUUGACUCAAAUGGAGACUCGGUAGACAGUAUUGAUCAUGCUAAGGAAAAAGACCGAAAGCUGUUAGAACAUUCCUCUGGGGCAACAGACAUGGUCGGAAAUGAAGAAGAAUCUCAGGAUCUAGAAUCACAGAAGAAGUUCCGCUCAACAAAAUCGCGCCUUCAGACACAGCAGCAACAACGAGCACUGGAGCUCCUGGAGGAAAGUUUACCACCGCUUGUCUUUGAUCUUCCUCGCCUACAACGAUUACUGGACAAAGUAGUGAUUGUUACAGACAAUUACUGUCUAGAACGACUGGAAAAGCUGUACAGUGUCUUCAGUCAGUGCAUUUACAGACACAGGAAAGAUUAUGACAAGACAGAGCUAUCUGAGGAAACAUUGGGAACUGAGUAUACACACACUGCCUGACUAAACCACCCCACAUAUUAGAUAGUGGCAAAUGUUGUGCAGCCAUGGUUACAGAAGUGCUCACAUAUAUGGAAACUCGUUCUGAACUUAUUGGGAACAUUAGGAACUUGAGACCAAGUUGGACCACCACUCCAAGCAAUGGCCCUCAAGUGUGUAAACAUCAGAGCAGGAUCCUGUGUGGGUGUGUGGGCGUGUGUGUGUGUAGGCGUGUGUGUGUGUGUGUGUGGGCGGGCGUGUGUGUG